GCCAGCAGCCAUAUCACCCUGGCAGCCCACUGAAGCAGGUGUGAGCCUGGUCAUUACCAGGAUGGGAGACCUUCUGGGACAAACUAAGGUUGCUGCUGGAA
rnacentral:rRNA from 1 species